rnacentral:rRNA from 1 species
GACGAACGCUGGCGGCGUGCUCAACACAUGCAAGUCGAACGGAAAGGCCCUGCUUUUGUGGGGUGCUCGAGUGGCGAACGGGUGAGUAACACGUGAGUAACCUGCCCUUGACUUUGGGAUAACUUCAGGAAACUGGGGCUAAUACCGGAUAGGAGCUCCUGCUGCAUGGUGGGGGUUGGAAAGUUUCGGCGGUUGGGGAUGGACUCGCGGCUUAUCAGCUUGUUGGUGGGGUAGUGGCUUACCAAGGCUUUGACGGGUAGCCGGCCUGAGAGGGUGACCGGCCACAUUGGGACUGAGAUACGGCCCAGACUCCUACGGGAGGCAGCAGUGGGGAAUAUUGCACAAUGGGCGGAAGCCUGAUGCAGCAACGCCGCGUGCGGGAUGACGGCCUACGGGUUGUAAACCGCUUUCGCCUGUGACGAAGCGUGAGUGACGGUAAUGGGUAAAGAAGCACCGGCUAACUACGUG